rnacentral:lncRNA from 1 species
UGGAUCUGAUGCAGAUUAAAAUAUCUUGGACCUUGGGCCUGAGCUUGGAAUGGAAGGAGACCUUUGAGGAUCUUAGUGGGGAAUCCCCUUGUCAUAAAACCAAUGCAUAAGAUACAACUGCAUCCAAUGUAUUCCAGAGAAAGAUUCUCUGCAGAUGACUCAAGGAAAGCCACAGGAGCAACAGGGAAACUGAAAGAACAAAUAUCACAGUUGAUUCAGAAGGGCAGCCCCACAUUUUUAAGUGAUACCCAACCAUUGUGAACAAGCUCUGUCAACACCAUCUGCUCCACAAAGGAAAGUUGCUGAUUAUUGCAUCUCUAAGUGGAGUCGGUCCUCUCCCACGAUAGCAGAAG